UCCCCAAUUCAUUUGGAAAAUUCAAAUAAAAUAAAAAUUGAACUUCAACAAGAUUAACAAGAACUGAAUUUUAAUACAUAUGAAUUUACAUUACAAUUUGAGAAUUACAACUUGCGCAUGGACCACUAACAAACCAUGCACGGUUUGCAUCCCUAUCCCACAAAAUCCCUCAAAUUCCUUCUCAAAUUUCCACCUUGCACGUGAUCAUAACAGACUCACAAUUCCCUCAUUUUCCUCACACGAUUCAUUUCACAAACUCAAAAAAAAACAUUAAAAACAACCGUAUCACUCUCCUCUCCCUCUAUCUCAAGUCCGUUUUACCCAAUUUCUAACGUAGAGACCAAAUAGAGCAGAUAAAUGUAAGAACCCUAAAACGAAAAUCAACAAUUAAACGCUGCUCAAGAGGAAUCUGAGCCCAAGAUGUUGGGGCUUUGAUUCCUCGUGCCUCGGGCUACAUGGUGGUAACGCACAAUGGAAGAAAAAAGCUUACCUAGGAGGCGGCGCGGUGCUCCGGUACGAGUCGAAUUUGAAGGUAAAGAUGAACUCAGGGAUGUUACAAGCUUAGAAUGACAUGGUGAGGGAAGUUGGCAUGAAGAUGAUGAAUGCUUGGAGGCAAAGUGGGAAUCAUGAAGUUUGGUCAUGGAUAUUGAUGGAAUGGAGUUUGGACAUGAAACUUGAUAAUGCAACCUGGCAAUUAGGAUGCUUAUAGGUUUAGAGUUAAGGGUUUGAUUUUGGCCAACUGGUUGACCAAAAAGUCAACAGUUGACCAAAAAGUCAACAGUUGACAAAAAGUCAACAACUGACCAAAAUCAUAUGUAGGUCAAAAGUAAACUGACCAAAGUCAUAUGUAGGUCAAAAGUUUGGUUUUUUUUUAUGUAUUUUCAAGAUUUGGAUGUUGUAACAUGAUUUGGUAUUUAUGUAAUGAGAGUGACUCUUUUGAAAUGAAUUGUAACUUAUGUCCAAGCAAACCUUUUUCCUUCUACAAAUUGAAUUCAAAUGAAUGUCUGAAUCUUGCAUUUGAA